rnacentral:lncRNA from 1 species
AUCAAGGGAACAAGAUAAAAGGGUUACAUGUUCUAUCUAGAAACACAGCAAGCAUGAUCACAGCUGAUGAGGGAUUGAACUUGGGAAGUGAUUAAAACAGGGGUCGGAAACAAGGGCAAAACCCUAGCAAAGACCUGUGGUGGCUUUUCUAACCCCACAAGAAGAAGAGAAAUCAAAGUUCACAAGCAAAAUGCAUGUGGGAAGCUAAAUUUGGUCCGGAGAUCAGAUUUUCCAUCAACCCUGCGUGAUCCACCUGCUUCAGCCUCCAAGGUUCUGAGAGUACAGGUGUGCAUCCUUUUGUCGGAUGCUCCCAAUCCAUACAUAAAUGAUACAUCUUCGCUGAUCUCGGCUAGCAGUGCCAUGUCACUUCUGCAGCUGAUCGGAAAAUAAACUCUUACGCUCUGCUACACCCCAGUCUCCCCUCCACCUCUCCCUCCCCUCAGAAAAGAGCAGGCCUCCCAGGGACAUCAACCGAACACAGCUAAACAAGCUAAAGAAGACCGAGCAUAUACCAUCACAUCAAGGCUGGACAAAGCAUCCAGGGACACCGAUGCCGGAAAAGACUGGAGGAGAAUGUUGAAUCCCCAUGAGCCGGAGUUACAGGCAGUUGUUAGCCACAAUAUUUGGGGUGUUAGGAACUGAACCUGGGUUUUCUACAAGAGCUGUACACGCUCUUACCUGCUGACUCAUCUCUCCAGUCCCAUUUAUCUGGGAAGUAUGUGAACAGUACGUGUAUGAAAAGCAUUUAUAAUCAUCCCACUCUCCAUAGAGGAUUUCUGUGUCUCGGUCAGGAUUCAUGAGAACAUGCCACCUCGGGGUCAGCAGAGCACGACGCCUGUACACCAAUGUGAGCAACUGACGGAUUACUAACCUCACUUCUAUUAUGGUCUGAAGAAUGUAGCACAUGGAAUUCUGGGAGAUUUAUCUAAGAGCACUUUCUGCAUCCCAGUUUUAUCGCCCAUCAGCCUAGGGAUGGAACUGCCA